AGUGAACGCUGGCGGUAGGCCUAACACAUGCAAGUCGAACGGCAGCACAGUAAGAGCUUGCUCUUACGGGUGGCGAGUGGCGGACGGGUGAGGAAUACAUCGGAAUCUACUUUUUCGUGGGGGAUAACGUAGGGAAACUUACGCUAAUACCGCAUACGACCUACGGGUGAAAGCAGGGGAUCUUCGGACCUUGCGCGAUUGUAUGAGCCGACGUCGGAUUAGCUAGUUGGCGGGGUAAAGGCCCACCAAGGCGACGAUCCGUAACUGGUCUGAGAGGGAGAUCAGCCACACUGGAAGUGAGACACGGCAGAGACACCGAGAGGGAGCAACAGUCGAGAAUCUUAGGCGAUGGACGAAAGGCUAAUACAGGAAUACCGCGUGAGUGAAGAACGACUUCGGGUGGUAAAGCCCUUUUGUUGGGAGAGAAAAAAAGCAGGUUAAUACCCCGCUAUAAUGACGGUACCCGAAGAAUAAGCACCGGCUAACUUCGUG
rnacentral:rRNA from 1 species